rnacentral:rRNA from 1 species
CUGGCGGCGUGCUUACACAUGCAAGUCGAACGGAAAGGCCCUUUCGGGGGUACUCGAGUGGCGAACGGGUGAGUAACACGUGGGUGAUCUGCCCUGCACUUUGGGAUAAGCCUGGGAAACUGGGUCUAAUACCGGAUAGGACUACGCGAUGCAUGUCGUGUGGUGGAAAGCUUUUGCGGUGUGGGAUGGGCCCGCGGCCUAUCAGCUUGUUGGUGGGGUGAUGGCCUACCAAGGCGACGACGGGUAGCCGGCCUGAGCAGGGUGACCGGCCACACUGGGACUGAGAUACGGCCCAGACUCCUACGGGAGGCAGCAGUGGGGAAUAUUGCACAAUGGGCGCAAGCCUGAUGCAGCGACGCCGCGUGAGGGAUGACGGCCUUCGGGUUGUAAACCUCUUUCAGCUCC